GGAGAAGAUCGACGUCAGCUCGUUCGCCGUGGGAAGCUGCAGUUGCAUGUGUUUCUGGUCAAGAGAGAAGGAGGCUGAUAACCUGCAUGUAUAUGAGAGAGAGAGCAGCGUGUAUGUUCACUGCAGAGCUGUAUGUUCAAUCCAGAGCUUUAUGAGCUUAUUUAUCUGUUUAUACAGACCAGCAAAAUUAAAGCAUCCAAACCAGCA